UUCUUCUCGUCUUGGUUCUCGUCACCGUCCAGCUUGUGGAUAUUGCAACAUGCGACGAUUUCUGGACUAGACGUCGUACCAGCUGGAAGUGGAAUGAGCAGAAUGCUCAACAAUUGAGAGAUGCACGUGACGCCCUUGAAGACGACCUUUUGUUGGCCAAUGCUUUCCAAUAAAAUGAAUCGAUUGUGAUUUGUGCGUUUCGUUGGAGACAAAUAAAAAACAACGAAUAAUA